UAGUUGUGCAGUGAUGAUACACUAUAAUCCCAGCUCUAUGAAAACUUCCCUUUGUGGGUCGUUUGUGAUAUGGACUAAGCGUUAUAGUUAUGUCUGAGCAUACUA